CUGAGGGAAGUGUCCCAGAUAGGAGGAGACAAAGCAGACGUGAGAACUCAGUGCAGUGUGUGAGCCUGGGUUGGAGCCUGGAACAGAAGAAGAUCAGUGGGACAACUGACAAAGAUGGAAUAAGGCCUGGCCUCCCAGUUUGCUCUUGGCCUCAAAUGAUCUUUCCCCACGUGGAAACCACAGACCCCAAGACUUGUGACCUUCCAGAUAUAACACACAAAGCCGGCUCACCAGGGACCCUGUGACUGAGCUCCAUAUUCUAGGGAGAGAGAGUGAGCAGCCCAGCCUGGCCAGGGAUUCGUCCCCUGUCCAGUGGGCAGUUCCACAAGAGCAAUGUGGGGGCCCUCCAUUUCUGCAGAGUUGGGGUGAGAGGCAAUUCUUGCAUUCCAGAGAGGUAAACUACAGAAACAAGGGAGCUACGCGGCCAGGAGGUUGGGCAGAACCAGGAGUGGAGGAUGGGGGCUGCAGAAACCUCCUGAAGCUGGGCUCCAGAUUCUCCAUGUGAGGGUUCACGUGGAGCAGUUGGAGCAGUGGUCCUCAACCAUGGCUGCAUGUUGGAAUCACUUGGGAGAUGUAAAACCUACUGAUGUUUGGGUCCCACCCUAGAGAUGCUGAUAAACCCAGGGGAAGUUACCUGACAUGUCUGCGAGGACACUCAAGCAGC
rnacentral:lncRNA from 1 species